rnacentral:rRNA from 1 species
CCGGAUUUAUUGGGUUUAAAGGGUGCGUAGGCGGCCUUGUAAGUCAGCGGUGAAAUUUUGCAGCUUAACUGUAAAAGUGCCGUUGAUACUGUGAGGCUAGGAUUUGGUUGCUGUGGGUGGAAUGUGUGGUGUAGUGGUGAAAUGCUUAGAGAUCACACAGAAUAUCGAUUGCGAAGGCAGCUCACAAAGCCAAGAUUGACGCUGAGGCACGAAAGUGUGGGGAUCAAACAGGAUUAGAUACCCUGGUAGUCCACACUGUAAACGAUGAUAACUCGCUGUCGGCGAUAGACCGUCGGUGGCCAAGCGAAAGCGAUAAGUUAUCCACCUGGGGAGUACGACCGCAAGGUUGAAACUCAAAGGAAUUGACGGGGGCCCGCACAAGCGGAGGAACAUGUGGUUUAAUUCGAUGAUACGCGAGGAACCUUACCCGGGCUCGAACGGUGCAUGAAUGUUCAAGAGAUUGGACAGUCCUUCGGGACAUGUAUCGAGGUGCUGCAUGGUUGUCGUCAGCUCGUGCCGUGAGGUGUCGGCUUAAGUGCCAUAACGAGCGCAACCCUUGUCAUUAGUUACCAUCAGUCAAGCUGGGGACUCUAGUGAGACUGCCACCGUAAGGUGUGAGGAAGGGGGGGAUGACGUCAAAUCAGCACGGCCCUUAUGUCCGGGGCGACACACGUGUUACAAUGGGAGGUACAGAGAGCAGCCAGUUAGUGAUAACGCGCCAAUCUCAAAAACCUUUCUCAGUUCGGAUUGGAGUCUGCAACUCGACUUCCAUGAAGUUGGAUUCGCUAGUAAUCGCGCAUCAGC